ensembl:lncRNA
GAAAGAAGUGCAACACCUGCAGCUGCAAAAGAGAGGGAGACGGUGUGGGAGAACAUUGCUGCCUGGGUCAAUGUAUUGUGAUGAUGUUAUCUGCCUGGUGGAGCCCCUUCACACCACAACAGACCUUGUAACUGUAAGUAGGCAAUACUCCAAAGAUUUUGCCAAAUGGUAGUUUAAGUCCACUGAAACAUAUUCAAAUGGUAGUUUCAGUCCACUGAAACAUAUCAGUCAUCUAGGAUGAAGAGGAUGAAACUGUGUCUGCUGCCUUUACAGAGGGGGAUCCAGAAAGGCACACAGAGAGCAUGGCUGGACAGCAGCAGGAUGCUUCCUCAACUUCCACUGCACAGAUUGACUCA